rnacentral:rRNA from 1 species
GACGAACGCUGGCGGCGUGCUUAACACAUGCAAGUCGAACGGAAAGGCCCUGCUUUUGUGGGGUGCUCGAGUGGCGAACGGGUGAGUAACACGUGAGUAACCUGCCCUUGACUUUGGGAUAACUUCAGGAAACUGGGGCUAAUACCGGAUAGGAGCUCCUGCUGCAUGGUGGGGGUUGGAAAGUUUCGGCGGUUGGGGAUGGACUCGCGGCUUAUCAGCUUGUUGGUGGGGUAGUGGCUUACCAAGGCUUUGACGGGUAGCCGGCCUGAGAGGGUGACCGGCCACAUUGGGACUGAGAUACGGCCCAGACUCAUACGGGAGGCAGCAGUGGGGAAUAUUGCACAAUGGGCGGAAGCCUGAUGCAGCAACGCCGCGUGCGGGAUGACGGCCUUCGGGUUGUAAACCGCUUGCGCCUGUGACGAAGCGUGAGUGACGGUAAUGGGUAAAGAAGCACCGGCUAACUACGUG